rnacentral:misc_RNA from 1 species
GUGGAACCGAAAAGUAGCAGUUCAGAACGAAGAUUUGCAAAUGACUUAAAUUUGCACAAAAACGCGAUAAAUUCUUAAUUAAACUAAUCGGAAACGCAAAGAUUGCGUAUUAACAUAUAGAAAUAACUAAAUUUUAUAAAUUAUUGAAAUAUUAAACGACGCGAAAACGAACGAAACCAAAGUGCUGCACAUGAAUUAGUGAAAAUGUAAUUUCUCUGCUGCACGACUACGAAAAAGAAGACGACGACGAAGCAAAAAAUAAAAGAAAGGCAAAGAUAAAAAUAAAAAUCUGUGACAGGCACUGGUGUAAAUAUCCAAAUCCUUUCGGAUUGGUAAAAACUACAUUAACGUGGACGAAUGCGGCCUAAACAGGACUGUUUUAUAUGUUGCAAACGAGAAAUAUUAAAUUCAUGUAUAUACAUACAUAUUGCGUAUAAUGUAUAGAGGAUAGGGAAGAAGAAUAGCACUAAAACAAAACGACAUAGUCGACGAAGAAGAAGAACGGAGUUGCGGAUAAGAGAUAUUUCUGCGGGCCAGACGAAAAGCGAAUUUUUUUUAUUUAUACAAAAUCGAAACUAUUGUGAAGCAUAAAAACUGUUGUGGAGAUUAGAAUAGGUGUGGAGAACACUGACUGCGUAAACUCCAGCAGUCUACAACAGCUUUUCGGUGCUAAUUACGAAUGGCUUAUAAACGGAUGCACGGAAGACUUCCUGCACACACACUCUCGUUUGGCGCUAGAGGACAAUAGACACCCUCUAACGUUUGGACAGCAUAUUAUUUUGUUACUUUUUUAAUUUUGGAAAGCACCUGUUAAUCACUUAUAUGCCUGCACACUGUUUAACCAAUAACGAUCACUUGCCGUCUGAAACCAAACCAAUGCUCGCUAUCAACGAGGAGCAACACUCGGAAGCGUCACACGCACGCAACCAUAGCGAUAGCAAUGGAGAAAUGCAUGCCAAUGGCAAUGCCAACAUCACCAACCAACAACAACGUCAACAAACUGCCGGCAGCAAUAACAACAGCAGCAGUGCUCACGAAACAACACAGUUACCACCAUUACCAGACGGGCCGCUGUGGUCGGUGCUUUACGAUUACGAUGCCAAAGGCGAGGAUGAGUUGACACUGCGUCGCGGUCAGAUUGUAGUGGUGUUAUCCAUGGAUAGCAAUAUUUCGGGUGAUGAGGGCUGGUGGACAGGCAAAAUUGGCGAUAAGGUCGGCAUUUUUCCCAGUAACUUUGUGACAGACCAAGAUCCUAUGCUGGCGGGCGUGCCCUCAGCUAUUGGAGACAUACAACCGCACGAAAUUGACUAUGCCGAACUCGAGGUGGGCGAGGUGAUAGGCGCUGGCGGCUUUUGCAAGGUGCAUCGCGGCUAUUACAGCGGCGAAGAGGUUGCCAUUAAAGUGGCGCCGCAAGCUGGCCCGGAUGUCGAAUCGAAUCGCGACAAUGUGCUACAAGAAGCGAAGUUAUUCUGGGUCGUCAAACACGAAAACAUAGUGGCACUGCGUGGCGUCUGCCUAAAGCCGCCCGAUCUGUGUCUUGUGAUGGAGUAUGCGCGUGGCGGCAGUUUAAACCACAUUUUGGCGCGUGGCAAGAUACCACCCGAUGUGCUGGUUAACUGGGCGAUACAGAUAGCACGCGGCAUGAAUUAUCUGCACAACGAAGCACCCAUCUCGAUUAUACACCGCGAUCUGAAGAGUUCCAAUGUGCUUAUUUUGGAAGAAAUCAUUGCCGGCAAUCUGCACAAUAAAACACUGAAGAUCACCGAUUUCGGUUUGGCGAGAGAGCUUUACAACACAACACGCAUAUCAACGGCGGGCACAUACGCUUGGAUGCCGCCGGAAGUGAUAAAAAGCAGCACGUACUCCAAAUCAUCGGAUGUUUGGAGCUACGGUGUGCUGCUGUGGGAGCUCAUCACAGGCGAAACGCCAUACAAAGGUUUCGAUUCGUAUUCAGUCGUGUUUGGCAUAGCAGUGAAUAUGCUAACGCUGCCUAUACCAAAAACUUGCCCGGAUGCAUGGGGAAAACUCAUGAAAAGCUGCUGGGAGAAUGACCCGCAUAAGCGACCAGGUUUCAGGGACAUAUUAACGAAGUUGGAAGACAUUACACGUUCAGGUUUCACGCUGACGCCACAGGAAUCGUUCAACACAAUGCAAGAUGCCUGGAAGAAGGAGAUAGCCGAAGUGCUGCAAGAGUUGCGCUUGAAAGAAAAGGAAUUGCGCACCAAAGAGGAACGCUUGAAUCGCGUUCAGAGCGAACAGGACGAACAGGCCAUGAAUCUGAAACGCUUCGCCGAGCAGUUAAAACUGCGCGAGAUGGCCUUAAUCGGGCGAGAGCUGCAAAUUGCACAACAAACACCAACGCCGAAUCGUAGGCGUGGCAAGUUUAGCAAAGUGAAACUUAAACUGCUAAAAAAGAACGAAGUGCAAAUUUCACUCCCAACCGAUUUCCGGCACACAGUGACAGCAAUACACGACAAACCCUUGACUGAUACACCGCCUGGCUCACCAGCAAUUUCCCAAGUGCGCAUCGUGGCACGCUACAAUUCCAAAGACUGGUGUUCGCCUUUACACGCGCUGCCAGCCGCCGCUGGCGCCGGCACUUCCAUCGUGGACGCGCCGCUGCCCAUUAUGUCGCCCAAUCCCUACCUGCUGAGCCGCUUUACUUCCAACAUUCCCAUGCCCACGCUGUACGCCGGCGAUGCGGUGCGCAAGCCGAAGCUUUCCGUCAUUGAAGUGUUGCUCUACAAUAUGGCCGCGCUGCUUGCCGGCGUCGCCGCUGGCUAUGACGUGCGCAUCUCGAACGUGUCGCCGGUGCAUCCAAUGCUGCUUAGUGAUGUGCCCGCAUUAAAGGCACCCAUGGAAAUGGAGUUUCCGAGUGUUUUAGAUGAGCGCAGCCGCUUUGCCGCCAACACUUAUCAUGGCACUGGCAACAAACACAAUCGCGCCACAUUGAAUGCAGCCACAUUCACGCGUUUAGAGGAACAACGCGCUCCUCUGCAUCAGAAUCCGCGCGGCUCGCCCAAACUGCAUGCCGCUACGCCUAGCUUUUACUUCCAAAAGCAUGCGCUGCCCCCAGCUGACAGCAAGCUGGCAUUGCAACAGCAGAAGCAAACACUGCAACAUCAGCAGCUGCCGCUAACCGGAUCCACCACAAGCGGCUUAGGCUCCAAUUUCACCAACAAUACCUCCGCGCUGCUUUCGUCUUCAUUGGGCAGUCAUACGCAGCCUCCAACACCUUCGCCGCGUCGGAAAAUCAGCACCUCUUCAUUUACUGAGAAUCUCGAGUAUUCGCUUCAUGAUGACACGCCACCAACGCGCCGUUUUGAUGACGACUUUAACGCUGGCAGUGGCAUGCCGCCCUCCGCAACGCAAUAUACGCGCGCUGAUUAUUUGCGUCACGGACCGAGCUUCUCCAAUGAUGGUGGCGCUUAUGGCGCAGGCGUGCAUCGUGCUGACUACUUCGGCUCCAACUAUUUUCCGUAUCGGCCAGAGGUGCAGUUGGCGUAUCAACGCGACUGUAAAUCGUAUCCUGACUACUCUUACGACUACAAUCACCGCCUGCCCAAUUACUACGACUACAACUACGACCCACAGCAGCCGCACCAGCAAUCAACGCCAAAGCAUCAGCAGCAACACUAUCAAACGCGUACACCGCCGCCGCGCGUACCCCAAAUGGGCGUCAGCGCUGCUGGACACCGACGCACACCAUCAACUAUCUCCAAUAGCUCCAACAUCAAUCAGGGCUUCUCUUUCGAUCACGAUGAGCUGCAUGCGGCAGAUUUAUAUGACUACAACAAUCUCAAUUUGCAACUGAACAUUAAUAUGGGCGCCGGCGGAGCGCCUGACUUUGCGCACUACCGCGAACUACCGCCACCACCUCCUGCACCGAUUGGCGUAGUGCCACCGCCCAGCAAACAUGAGCUGUAUAAGAGCUCACCCAAGAUGGCCCAGCGUUUGAAACGCGGCGGUGCAGGCGGCAGCAUGGGCGGUGCCGACACAGGAGGCGGCUUAAAUCGCAUUCGCGACUAUGAAAAUUUACCCGCGUACAUUGGUAGCCCAUUGCACCGGACAAAGUUUCACAACACCUUGGCCCAGCAGCAACAUCUGCAACAAUUGCAGCGGGAACGCGAGCAACAACAUCAGUCCCUCUUUAGUACACCGCAGCAUAGUCUUUACACGCACACCACACACGCGCAAUCAACGCCGCUGAGUCCGGUACACAUGAAACCGUUAAGCGCGCAAGAGCGGCCAGUUUCGCUACCUUUCGAACAGACAACAGCGGCGCUAGGCUUCAAUGGCAGUGGUUCCAACAAACUGCGUUCGUCGCUCAAAAAAUUCAACUAUAAAACGCCUAAUGGUGGCGCAGCGUCUAAUACCGGUAAUGGCGCUGAAUUGGUGGGCGCCAACAUGAGCAAUGGGCUUACCGUAGUGGGUGGCAACGGUGUCGCCAAGCGCACCGGCAGCAUUUCUUCACAGCAGGGCACGCCCACUAAUCCCACUCCCCCCGAUUCGCUCACUAGUGAUGACAGCUCGUAUCUGAGUGCCAAAGAGGGCUCCAUUUCCUCGCAGCACAGCCGUGUGCGUUUCAGCCCCGAAGCGUUUCUGGACGCCAGCAGCGGCAACGGCAGCUUUAACAAUAGCAACAACAACAACGGUGGCAGCGGCAGCGCGAGUGGCUAUCUCAAUCAAUCCACAAUAUCGCUUUUCAAUCGACGCAUAUCGCGGCGCCACACCAGCGACAUGUCCGCCGGCACCCCACCAUCCUCCUAGCAGGGCAGCGCCGCACGCUUCACCAAUACAACACUGCAGUUGGCGCGCAGUCCAGGCGCUUUGGUCAGCAGUUCAUUGUCGUUGAAUUCGCCACAGCAACAGCAGCUAUCCACGUCGGCGCAACACUCAAUGCAGCAGCUUCCAUAUCGCUGGUACUCGGGUGCACGAAGAUCGCGUUCAGCACACUACGAAUAUAGGUUGUAAGCAAAGAAGCAAGUAGUGAGAGGCGAUUAAAGCUCAAAAAUCAUUAUUGGAUAAGAAGAAAGCGACGCAAGCGGUGAGCAGGAGAAAACUUGUAUGUUGUAUAAAGGGACGCUUGGUGUUCCCAAUAAUCGCUGUAACAUUUUCGGUUUCCACUUCUAAAUAAAUAAUUAGGGCGUACAACCAAAGGAGAUGUACAUAGAACUUACAACUUAGCGACUAGACAGACUCAAUUACAACUGAGCGCGCUGAAUGAAACAAACUGCACGGAUAUACACAUUUUAGAAUGCUUCGGUACAAAUGCGAAAUUCUAAUAACAAGCUGAAUGGCGCUGAAUAAACUAUACGUCUGUUUUGAAAGCGAAUUAUUGACUAAAAAGCCAAGCUUAAACAUCGCACGCGAAACUAACACACUAUAUAACGCGCUGAAUACAUUUUACCAUAGCUGAAUAGCGUUUAACUACGCAACAGAAGAAGGCGCAUCCUAAUAGAUUUAUAAAAACGCAAAACAAAAGCGAUUUGCUAAUUACUCCAAACAUGCCAAUCAUUCAACUAACACUUAAUUGGUUUUGCCAAACAUACAUAUGUAUGUACAUACCUAUUUAAUAGCAAGGAUGAACUCUUAAAACGCUAAGUAUUUGUAUAUAACCACAUACAUGUAAGCAAUCAUACACAAUUCCUAUUGCUGCUUAUUUUGAAAACAAAAACUUGGUAAAGCUUGCAAUUUACGCAAAAAUUGUCAUUGAAAUUGAGCUACAAGCUGUAAAUCGAUAAUGAAAACUCUAUGAAAAUGAAAUUUUUCAAAAUCGCCUGAUGCUGUUUGCGCAUUUUCGAAAAUAUUAUAUAAAAACUAAAAAUAAAUCCUUUAUCAAUGUGAAAUUGUAUUCAAUUGAUGCCUUAACAAAAAAUUAUGGAAAAAUUAAAAACUCAAGCAAAACACGAAAAUCAUAAAAAUUUGUGUAUUCGAAAAACAAUCAGAGGAAAAAAAACGGUAAAUUGAAAAGCUCUCAAAAUGUAUUAUACGAGAGAUAUUCGCUUUUGAAUUACCAUGAUAAGAAUUUGUAAGUUUCUUCUUCAUCUCUAUAUACUGACGGAGAGUUAGGUAUAACUUUAAGGCUGAUGUUAUUUCAUAAGUGUAGAGUAUGUAUGCAUUGCCGUUAUACAUGUGGUACAUAUGUACAUAUAAAUAUUAAUAAUCGACAGGAAAAGCAAAAUGAAGAAGUACUAUGUUUCUGAAUUCAUAAUUAAAAACAAGUUAAAAAAGAAAGAAAAAAUUACAUAAUAAAAUUAAUACAGUCAAUACUCGUUAGCUUGAACAAUGUACCGCCUUGCAAAAUAACUGCAAACACAAAUACGCUGGCGUAAGAAUAUUUUUUAAUUAAAAAAAUUAAUUUUCUUGAAAUCAGUUCCGAUCGACGCCGCUUGACUUUGUGAUGUAUAUAAAGGAUAUAUGUAUUUAUAUUAUAUAUUUGUAUAUCCUAAGUGAGCGCUGCGGAAACUCUUUCACAAUUUUCCUUGGCAAUAAGAAUUAUAUACCACAAGCGUUUGAGCGUGAAAAGUCGGCGUCUUUAUCUUUAAAUGCAUUCAAAUUGUUUCGGUUUUUCUCAUAAAAAUCAAUAACAAAAUGAUAUAAUACUCAAACCUGAACAGAAAGUUAAAAAAUCUGGCUCUCGAGUAAAGUUCGGUUAGAAUUCGAUCCGAAAAGGGCAAGAAAAGUGCUCGCGAAGUGCGAAGCAUUACACAAAAGUAACGGUAAUGAUCAAGACUAAAAUACACGAAAUCGCGAACCGAGUUGAGUGCGAAACUAUGGCUUGAGUACAGGUCUACAUAUAACUUAUCCAUACGCGAUUAAUAUAGGCUCGUUCACU